UACGUAGGGUGCGAGCGUUGUCCGGAAUUAUUGGGCGUAAAGGGCUCGUAGGCGGUCUGUCGCGUCGGUAGUGAAAACUCAGGGCUUAACCCUGAGCCUGCUUCCGAUACGGGCAGACUAGAGGUAUGCAGGGGAGAAUGGAAUUCCUGGUGUAGCGGUGGAAUGCGCAGAUAUCAGGAGGAACACCGGUGGCGAAGGCGGUUCUCUGGGCAUUACCUGACGCUGAGGAGCGAAAGUGUGGGGAGCGAACAGG
rnacentral:rRNA from 1 species